GCUAUAACAGGAUGGCUUGCUCCCAUGUAGGCCUGCUAUAUUCAUUGUUAUUUCCAGUUAACUUCUUUAUUUGACUGUUUGUCCUGCUGUCUCCCUGACUUUGUGUGUUGUUAACCUACAGGUGAUUAGAGAUAGUUGCAAGAUGUCUCAAACUUUACCAGUCCUAAAGCUGAGUUAAUGGAGGUAUCUUACAGUUUUUCCAAAUCUCUCUCAACAGGAAUGCAGUGUGCCUGUACCAUGGAUGGAUGACUCCGUCAUUAAACCACAAACCAAAGCAGCUCUUACUUCCCAGAGUCUGGCAUUCUCCUAGGGCUCAGAUAGAGCCAUUGCUGUGAUGGUGCAGGCCAAUGCUUGAUGGUGGCAAGCUGAAGAAAAGCAUUAAAAUAAAGCCAUUGGAGAUGUAAGCAUACAGCUGGCUUCUGAAUGAGAAAAGACGUACACCGUCUGCACACAGCUGAGUUCCUUGAAGCUGGCGGCUGCGGGCUCGGUGGUGCCAACCAAACACAGCCAUGGGCUUUACUUGCUCUGGGACCGGCGUGUCACCGGCCUCAGCCUCCCAGCAGCGGAGCCGUCUGGGGUGUUUUGUGCCAACCCCAAAUCCCUUUGGCAGGCCACAGCCAAGAAUCUCACAGACUGCUGUCCCAAAGCUGCGGCAGGAGGUGGUCUUGCGUUUCCCAGGGAGGGCUGCUGCUGCAGCAGGCACUCACUGCCUUGAGCCCGCCUUGGCUGCUGGGCGAUUCCUGGCAGAGGUGAAUCAUGAGUGGGGAGCUCCACGACUGCGGGGUGCAUGCAUGCACCAAAACAGUGCCUACAGCUUGCUGCCUCUGCCCCGCUCUCCUUUCCUGCCUCCUUUCCCCCAGGGUCCUAACUCCUGACUUUGUUGCUCUAUAAACAUAAUAACAAUAAUUAUUCUCUCAUUGGACACGUAGCCAUCUUCUUUGUUUGCAGGCUUAGAUAAAUAUCAUUCAAAUCAUGGAGUCUGAUUCAUGAGUCAGGACGAUGGCAGUCCUCCAAAACCUCCUUGCCCAUGGAGAGUGUGUUUGUGUGAGAGAGAUAGAGAGUUUCACUGUAUGAAGAGUAAGAAACUGGAAGCCAAGUGAAUUAAAUACAAAGCAGAUAAUUAUGUGUAAUUCAUUUACUGACUAAUGAUUGCACCUGGUACGAAGUUUUUUGAAUUCAUUUGACUCUGCAGAGGUUCUCAAAAACAUUCUCCCUGCUACACGAUAAAAAUAUAGGCUGACAUUUCUGAACAGACCAGUGUUUACAUUAGUAGUAUUGUAAGAUUCUGUCUUUUUGGCUCAUUCCUUAUUUUAUCUCACGAUGUUUCAUUUUUUUCUGGGUUCAUCUCGUACCUCUUUUAAAGUGACUACUGCUCAGCCCUGGUAAAGAAUGGGUGUCACUGGAGAGUGACGCCUUCAGUCUGCUUGUGACAGCUCUGUAAGGCAUCAACGCUUUUCUUCCCUCCCCACCCCGGCAGCCGGGACUGCGCCAGGGAGGCCAUGACCACAGCGGGACCGCGCAGGCCACGGCCCCCUUCCCACUCUGCCAUGAUCGGCAGUGAUGGGGGGCUUUUUGUGGUGUUACUCACUUGUCACCUUGGUCUGGUGCCACCAGCUCCUCCUGCCUGAACACUGCCAAGCAGGAGCAACCGUCGCCUCUCGAGAGCUGGGUGGAUUGCAGGUGAAGGACCCGGAGUCGAAGCCUUCAAUGGGAUGGUAAAGACCAUGCGAGUCCCACGAGGCCCUGGGGAGCUGCCUCCGUGCAGAUGGGGCCCCUGUGCCUCCACGACACCUCUCCUACCUGGCGUGUUCAACCCGAGGUCCUCAGGGUGCCAUGAGCCAGGCCCAGUGAGUCCUGGGCAGGAACGGAGAGCAGAGCUGCACUGAGGGCUUGUGACCACAAAGAUGCUGCCCAAGACGGUGCGGUUACCUGAGCAGCUGAAGCGAAAGAGCUUUCCAAGUUAUAUUGCCCGUGCUAGGCAUGCGCUGGUGCCCUGCUCCUGGCCUGUCGAUGGGCUAAAGGCAGCUCACCUUAAUCAUCCCCCUGCCAACAUGAAUGUAUGCGCAUAGUUGAUUGUUCAUGUCUUCUGUAAUGGCUCUUGGUCAA